rnacentral:rRNA from 1 species
AGUGAACGCUGGCGGCAUGCCUAACACAUGCAAGUCGAACGGCAGCACAGCAGUAGCAAUACUGUGGGUGGCGAGUGGCGGACGGGUGAGGAACACAUCGGAAUUUGCCCAGUCGUGGGGGAUAACGUAGGGAAACUUGCGCUAAUACCGCAUACGACCUAACGGUGAAAGCGGGGGAGUCGCAAGACCUCGCGCGGAUGGAUAAGCCGAUGUCGGAUUAGCUAGUUGGCGGGGUAAAGGCCCACCAAGGCGACGAUCCGUAGCUGGUCUGAGAGGAUGAUCAGCCACACUGGGACUGAGACACGGCCCAGACUCCUACGGGAGGCAGCAGUGGGGAAUAUUGGACAAUGGGGGCAACCCUGAUCCAGCAAUGCCGCGUGUGUGAAGAAGGCC